rnacentral:rRNA from 2 species
UACGUAGGGUGCGAGCGUUAAUCGGAAUUACUGGGCGUAAAGCGUGCGCAGGCGGUUUUGUAAGACAGGCGUGAAAUCCCCGGGCUCAACCUGGGAACUGCGCUUGUGACUGCAUCACUUGAGUACGGCAGAGGGGGGUGGAAUUCCACGUGUAGCAGUGAAAUGCGUAGAGAUGUGGAGGAACACCGAUGGCGAAGGCAGCCCCCUGGGUCGAUACUGACGCUCAUGCACGAAAGCGUGGGUAGCAAACAGG